rnacentral:lncRNA from 1 species
AAAAGUUGUGCCAUGUCAGCACCACGUCAGCAGCUACGUCAGCGGCCCGGUCAGCAGUCCCGGCCAACCAGGACGCGCCGCGUGGCAAGGAAACGCUGACCAGGGGACGGGCCACGUGGGCGAUCCGCGUGCGCGCGAUCGAACGACCCAGAUCCGUUCCCGCGCGCACGGACGACCCAGAUCAAAUGUGCGCACGGACGGCCUAGAUUCACGCGCACGAACGGC